CGCGGCCUAUCAGCUUGUUGGUGAGGUAACGGCUCACCAAGGCGAUGACGGGUAGCUGGUCUGAGAGGACGGCCAGCCACACUGGGACUGAGAUACGGCCCAGACUCCUACGGGAGGCAGCAGUGGGGAAUCUUGCGCAAUGGGCGAAAGCCUGACGCAGCGACGCCGCGUGGGGGACGAAGGCCCUCGGGUUGUAAACCCCUUUCGGCAGGGACGAAGCGAUCGUGACGGUACCUGCAGAAGAAGCCCCGGCUAACUACGUGCCAGCAGCCGCGGUAAGACGUAGGGGGCGAGCGUUGUCCGGAUUCAUUGGGCGUAAAGCGCGCGUAGGCGGCUCGGUAAGUCGGUCGUGAAAUCCCGGGGCUCAACCCCGGGCCUGCGUCCGAUACUGCCGGGCUAGAGGCAGGUAGGGGAGAUCGGAAUUCCUGGUGUAGCGGUGAAAUGCGCAGAUAUCAGGAGGAACACCGGUGGCGAAGGCGGAUCUCUGGGCCUGUCCUGACGCUGAGGCGCGAAAGCUAGGGGAGCGAACAGGAUUAGAUACCCUGGUAGUCCUAGCCGUAAACGUUGGGUGCUAGGUGUGGGCGGAUAUCGACCCCGUCCGUGCCGAAGCUAACGCAUUAAGCACCCCGCCUGGGGAGUACGG
rnacentral:rRNA from 1 species